CGCCAUCGCGUCAUCCAGCCAUCCCCGCCCCGCCCCGCCAAAUCGAGGUGCCCCUGGUUGCCGCCGCGAGGGGUCCCUGUCCACUUGCACAAAGAAGGCGGGUCCCCGUCAGCUUGUCGCCUCCCCGCGCGCCCCUCCUGCGCCUCCCCGCGCGCCAACUCGCCGUCGACCUGCCCACCGAUCCGCUCGCACCGCCCUCGCUCUCGCCCUCCCCAUCUUGCUCGCCGACACCGCCGCUCCGCCGUCCCGCUUGUGGUUGGCUCAUUGGUUCUAGGUUGCAGGCCGGCUGGGAUCAGUCACAGCAGAAAGUGGAGGGUUCGACUGGUCUGGCGUCCAUGGCUACGGACCAGGUUCCUCACGCUCGUGAUUUAUCUUUUGCUUCAGUGGUGCCUGAGGACGUUGCCCACCCUGUGUUCGAUGAAAUGUCUCCUCUAGAUGUAGUCUGGGAUAAGAAAGUGCAGCAUGGGUUCGAUUCACAUGGCUUGUUGCAGCAGUUAGCUCAGUGGACUGUCGAGCAGGUCUCGUUGAUGGUUCCAGUCAUGUUCGAGGAAAUGCAUCAAGGUGGAGAGGACUUGAUUGGCAAGGAAAAGAAGCCAACUGCAGAGUUCAUUCAUAUCAGUGCUGCUUCCCUUCCCGUAGAGCUAUACGUUGAUCUGGGGUGCUUGAGGUAUCACAGUGACGUGGUACAGUAUGAGGAUUUGUCUCCUCACCUCGACACACACCAUAGCCAGCAAUCAGCUUACUUGGUUGAUGAAGAUAGCAAGUCAAUUAACCAGUCAUUCAUCAGCAACAUGCUCAGUCAGGAGAAAUGCUCUUAUUUCAUUUUGGAUUCUGGCAUCAAUGAGAUGGAUUUGAUGCUUGUUGGAAUGGCUCUUGACGAGGCCAAUGCAGCAGCUUAUGCUGAGCCAGCCAUGUUCAGAUAUGAGAUGGAAAGAAAGCAUGAUGCAGGCAAGCUGUUUUGUGAAAUGCCCAACGAGAUUGUGUGGGGUGACAUUCCAUCUGACAUUGAGACAUGAAACUUAUUGCAGCUUGUCAUGGGUGCGAAGGACCUGAAGGAUGAGAAGAUAAAGCUGUGUCUUCGGCUUAUUGAUGAUGAGCAUUGGUGCUGCCUAGCCAUCGCGCACAAGUAACAAGCCCUCCUCACAAGUCACCACCAUCGUGCCCUCUGCAAUGCCUGAGCACGCCAUCAUGGGAAGGGAGAGGGGAGACCAAUAGGAAUCAAGUAAUGGAGAGCUGAUGUUGUCUUCUAGAUUCUGAGACAGAUCAGUAAAAAGGAAGUAUGUGAUGGGUGGACAGAUUUCAUCACAGAAUGGUACAGGCAACUGGAGGUGAGGUUUGAUCAAAGGCUAUGUUGAUUUCUACCCAUUCUUAUCAGCUUGUGUCUCCAGCUUGUUUUCAUUCGCACUCUUAGCCUUUAGACCGGAUUAUGCGUUCAUUUUUUUCUAUAUUUCUUAAAUCUUUUCUCCACUGCAAAGUUUUGUUCUGGUUCCGUUAGAGCAACAUGUUAUUUUGCCUCCGUUAUCGACGAUACUCCUGAUGAUGGGAAAUCUGAUUGAUAUCAUUUGGAUUUUUUUCUUUACCGAUAUGUUUGUACUUUUGGGUUGAGAAUACACGGUGUACCAUUCACCUUUCGUUUAUUUUCAAUUAUGACAUGAUGUUUUGCCACUGGUUUAAAAUGUGAAUGAAAACCGAUAGAAAAGCAUCCGAAAGAUUAAGGUGAAAAUGGAAGAAAUAUAAAUAAAAAGAAUUAAACUUGAAUAAAUUUAGGGGAAAUUCAUAUUUAUUUAUUUUUAGUUAGUUUUUCUUAUAUUUCAUUUCUAGAUUUAGUACUUUUCUUUAGUCAUUCAAAAAUCUAGCCGCUUCAAUCCUUUUCCUCGCUUGACUCUAUGUUUGUUUUCCAAUGCUUAGAUUUGGCCAUCAUAAGCACGAGCUUAGGCAACGGGAUUCCGUAGAGAAUCAUCAACUAUGAGUGAGCUAUUCGUGCACUAACAAUAUGGUUGCAGGUGUGUGAUCAAGCUGUGCGAUCUGGACUAAUGGAUCGCUCCGAGCUACUGAAGAUGUCAAGAAGCUCAUCGAGGCUGAAGGGGGUGAAACAUGGAAGGAGUAUGAAAUUUUUAAGUACAAGAGAUAAAAUGCUGAUAAUGCAUUUGAACUUCUAAUUAAAAUGUGUUUUCUCUACAAAUGACAAAGAGUGCCCAAUUAAUAUAUUUGCUACAUGCUAUUUAUUCCUUGUCUUA